UACGUAGGGCGCAAGCGUUGUCCGGAAUUAUUGGGCGUAAAGAGCUCGUAGGUGGCGUGUCGCGUCUGCCGUGAAAGCCCAUGGCUUAACUGUGGGUCUGCGGUGGAUACGGGCAGGCUGGAGGCUGGUAGAGGCAAGCGGAAUUCCUGGUGUAGCGGUGAAAUGCGCAGAUAUCAGGAGGAACACCAGCAGCGAAGGCGGCGCUCUGGGCUGGAACUGACGCUGAGGAGCGAAAGCGUGGGUAGCAAACAGG
rnacentral:rRNA from 1 species